UACGAAGGGGGCUAGCGUUGCUCGGAAUCACUGGGCGUAAAGGGUGCGUAGGCGGGUCUUUAAGUCAGGGGUGAAAUCCUGGAGCUCAACUCCAGAACUGCCUUUGAUACUGAGGAUCUUGAGUACGGGAGAGGUGAGUGGAACUGCGAGUGUAGAGGUGAAAUUCGUAGAUAUUCGGAAGAACACCAGUGGCGAAGGCGACACACUGGCCCGUUACUGACGCUGAGGCGCGAAAGCGUGGGGAGCAAACAGG
rnacentral:rRNA from 1 species